AUGAAGAGAUGACGUCAAAUUUACGUAAAUCCUAAUCGAACUUUCAUAUCUUAUAUUUUUUAGUGCUGCCAUCUAGCGAUUAAGUUAUGUAAAUCAACGAUUCUCAAUUAGUUUACCAACGUGUAGUGAAUUGGAACUUCUAUAAUUAAAUAAAUGUGAAAUUCGGAAUUUUUAUUUUUUAUUUUUAAGGGACAUUUCGUCUAAUUUUCACAAGAUUUCAACUUAAUUUCUUAAAGCGAUCAUUAAAAUAACAUCGCCGGAAAAAAAAAGAUUAAAUGUCGUCCCUCUCGUCAACAACCGCUAAAAGUUUAUAAACACUCCUUCGAGAACAUCAACAUUCGCCCAUACAAACACUGUCGAUGUAACGUUGCAGGUAUCAAAGAGUACAGUUGACGUCCGAUUUCACCAUCUUCUCAUUGUCCCAGGAACACCUCUGACCCAACACCUGCGGAAUCAACCUUCGUCUUCGACAACACUCAAUCACAUGACCAUUUUCCCAGGCCGUUCCGAAUAUAAGACCGAUACACCCCCCCCCCCUCCGGGCAGUCUCUUCGAGAUCUUAACUGGUGCACAUAUAGAGUCGCGACAGGAUAUUAGAGUGGAAAAGUCGGAUUAAUCGAAAUCCCCCAGAAAUGUAUCGGAAAGAGAUAUCAUCAUCCCCAUCGUGGGCCAACCAACAUGGAUUCCGCUUUGGAUUUUCUACUAAACUGUCCUAUUUGCUAUAACCGGAUAAAGCCACCAGUCUAUCAGUGUACCAAUGGCCACAUAGUCUGCUCUGAAUGUCGACUGCGCAUAACCCAGUGUCACACCUGUAGAGAACCUCUGGGCCAUAUCCGAAGCCUGAUUGUAGAACAAAUCUUUAGUACUAUGCAAUCUCCCCUGCGUAUUCCAAGCCUUCGGGUGCACAGAGACUCUCCCCGAGAGGGACCACCUACUUCACGAAGAAGCCUGUCCCUUUAAAUUAAACCCCUCCCAUGUCCCUUCCACUCCUCAAACUGUACCUGGAAGGGCGCCCGGAUGCAACUUCAAACCCAUCUAACCAUAGGGCACCAACCUGAGGGUACCUGGGCCGCCACUGUAGAGUACCAUCUUCAAAAAUUCCUUCUUUUAGUCACUAAACACAAUCCCGAAAAUGCUUCCUUUCUUAUAAAAAUCCUUUUCCUGGAAAAACCGCCAACAGAUAGUAAGUUCAGAUACAAAAGAGGAGACCACGCAUUUCGAUGGACUUCUAUCGUCCAUGAAACAUACGAGGAUAAUUCCACCCUUUCACCGUAUCCAGCUCCAUCCUUUGAAGUCCCUCUUAAUCUUAUACACUUUUUCAGCACCCAUCACAAUUUCAAAUUCAUUCUUACCAUUUCCCCUCUAGAUGGCUGAACCUAAUGAAUUAGGUUCAGCCAUCCACUUCCAGCACCGACUACAAGCAACGAGAUUGAUGCGAAAACACUACGAGCCGCCAUCCAUUUUGCUCGAUCCCAACGGCAAAGAUCUCCAACGCUCCCUGUCACACUCAUUCUACCCAUCAAUUAUAGUUGUCCGCCACAACUGGAACAAGCCUAUCAAGAAGUUAACCGCCACCAUCAAACACCAGAAUCUUCCGAAAUCACCCCAGAUGCUUCCUGAACCCCCCUCUUCCUCUCGCUCCCACAAGCCUCGACCAACGCCUCGCCCUCACUACCACUCCCACCGUCGACCUUAAGGCUAUGUACACAUUAGGCGUUUUGCGUUGCGUUAAACGCGCGUUUAGCUCGGUGUUCGACGACCGUUCCCACUGGCUCAGUUUGGAAAUGGACGUGAAAGUAAUUGCUUGUGUGUGCCUCCUCCAUCGUCGCUAUAAAAGAUGAUGGCAAAGAGAAUUUUGGGUGCACCCAAUAUUACGAGAUAGACUGAUGCAUGGAAUGUUUGUGACAUUGUAUCCAAAUUAAGACAAUAUGAACCCAAGUUUUUUAAUUCUUUUAGAAUAUCUAUAUAAUUAUUUGACAACGGCUGGUCUCUUUUAGAUUUCAUCAAUAAAUAGAUCAGUAUUGAAAUGAUCAUUCCCGAAAAGUUAGUCGUCGCCAGUCACUCUUGGAUUAGUCAUCAAAAAUAUCCUGUGUCAGUGUCAAUCGUACUUUGUCGGAUUUUCACAUUACUUUCCACUGUGCCUAGAACUUUCUUGAUGCAGACCAGUCCCAACGAUCCAAAUCCUCACCCUCAAGAUCCUAAUCUCAACCUCAAUUCAAGAAUCAUCAUCAUCAACGCAGGUAUUUCCCGACUAGUGAACAAUUGUAAACUCUCUCUCUCUCGAUUGCUAGCUAGAUAGGUUAAGUCGAUAUAUUGUAUCAUGUAUUUCUUCUUCGUUGAAAAAAAACGGUUAUUUAGUUGUUUUCUUUUGUAUCUGAGUAUUUUCCUUCUGGUACGCUGCCUCUCAACCCAAAUUUAGAUCCUGGAUCCGAUCGCCCGCACACGCGGCCACUUGCGUGACUAAAUCAACACGCCAGCUGGGCUUUCAAUCGGGACAUGGUGGUAUCAGUCCUGACAGGGCAUCGGAGGUGAUGACCCUCUGGUCACACUAGGAAUACUGAGUGCCACCAUAAUGGUCUAUAUCUUUGUAUUGCCACUGAAGGCUAUUGACGUUUUCUAACAAAAUAAAGCUCACUGUUUUGUA